rnacentral:misc_RNA from 1 species
CCCAAAGUCACAGUUCUUGUACUUGUCCAGCAUAGCUACCAUCCCUUUGCCAGUCAAUAUAUAUCGGGCAUGAAUCAGACCAUAAAGCAUCUCUGCCGCUGACUCCACCAACUCAUGUUGUUCCUCUGUAAACAUAUCUCCAUGAGAGGAUUCAACAUCCAAAAUCAAAUCAAGUGCAUAAUCAUAAUAAGGAACUUGACUGCUUAACCCACAGAGGUUAAAGUCAUCUUGAAUGUAAUCAUCAUCAACUUCACAAAAGAAUUCAUUUCCUCGCAGAUUGCAAAACCAUGAGAUCCAAGAUGUGUCUUCCCCAUCAGAACCACUAACCUCUGAGUCUUCACUGUCUGUCUCAGAUUCCUCAUCGGAGGAAUUGUUUUUGGAGAGGGGAUCUUUGCGAUCAGGCGGUUGUUUCCCCAUGAGACGAGACUGCGACGAAACAUCCUUGUUGAUUGCUCUGGAGGUAGAAGGAGAGGAGCGCUCGAGAUGUUUAUCAAGAGCAUCGUUGAUCCGUUUCCGAUCGACAAGUCCCACCUCAGUCUUGGACCCACCAAUCCGUCGUUCCCUGUACAUGACGAUGACGAUCUCCUCCUCGGCGAGGAUUAGAGUUGGUCUUCAGGGCAAAAUCAUGGAUGCAUGGCUGGGAACGGGUGAAAAAUCCAGGGUUUUCUUUGGAUAGAGGGAGAGAGGGGAUAGUGCGAGCUGAAGCUCCGGGGUUUUCCCCUUUUUUAUUUUUUUU